rnacentral:rRNA from 1 species
GAUGAACGCUGGCGGCGUGCCUAAUACAUGCAAGUCGAGCGAACGGACGAGAAGCUUGCUUCUCUGAUGUUAGCGGCGGACGGGUGAGUAACACGUGGAUAACCUACCUAUAAGACUGGGAUAACUUCGGGAAACCGGAGCUAAUACCGGAUAAUAUUUUGAACCGCAUGGUUCAAAAGUGAAAGACGGUCUUGCUGUCACUUAUAGAUGGAUCCGCGCUGCAUUAGCUAGUUGGUAAGGUAACGGCUUACCAAGGCAACGAUGCAUAGCCGACCUGAGAGGGUGAUCGGCCACACUGGAACUGAGACACGGUCCAGACUCCUACGGGAGGCAGCAGUAGGGAAUCUUCCGCAAUGGGCGAAAGCCUGACGGAGCAACGCCGCGUGAGUGAUGAAGGUCUUCGGAUCGUAAAACUCUGUUAUUAGGGAAGAACAUAUGUGUAAGUAACUGUGCACAUCUUGACGGUACCUAAUCAGAAAGCCACGGCUAACUACGUGCCAGCAGCCGCGGUAAUACGUAGGUGGCAAGCGUUAUCCGGAAUUAUUGGGCGUAAAGCGCGCGUAGGCGGUUUUUUAAGUCUGAUGUGAAAGCCCACGGCUCAACCGUGGAGGGUCAUUGGAAACUGGAAAACUUGAGUGCAGAAGAGGAAAGUGGAAUUCCAUGUGUAGCGGUGAAAUGCGCAGAGAUAUGGAGGAACACCAGUGGCGAAGGCGACUUUCUGGUCUGUAACUGACGCUGAUGUGCGAAAGCGUGGGGAUCAAACAGGAUUAGAUACCCUGGUAGUCCACGCCGUAAACGAUGAGUGCUAAGUGUUAGGGGGUUUCCGCCCCUUAGUGCUGCAGCUAACGCAUUAAGCACUCCGCCUGGGGAGUACGACCGCAAGGUUGAAACUCAAAGGAAUUGACGGGGACCCGCACAAGCGGUGGAGCAUGUGGUUUAAUUCGAAGCAACGCGAAGAACCUUACCAAAUCUUGACAUCCUUUGACAACUCUAGAGAUAGAGCCUUCCCCUUCGGGGGACAAAGUGACAGGUGGUGCAUGGUUGUCGUCAGCUCGUGUCGUGAGAUGUUGGGUUAAGUCCCGCAACGAGCGCAACCCUUAAGCUUAGUUGCCAUCAUUAAGUUGGGCACUCUAAGUUGACUGCCGGUGACAAACCGGAGGAAGGUGGGGAUGACGUCAAAUCAUCAUGCCCCUUAUGAUUUGGGCUACACACGUGCUACAAUGGACAAUACAAAGGGUAGCGAAACCGCGAGGUCAAGCAAAUCCCAUAAAGUUGUUCUCAGUUCGGAUUGUAGUCUGCAACUCGACUACAUGAAGCUGGAAUCGCUAGUAAUCGUAGAUCAGCAUGCUACGGUGAAUACGUUCCCGGGUCU